rnacentral:lncRNA from 1 species
GGCAGUCUCGAGCUUGGAGGCGGAGGCUGCCCUGGAGGCCCGGCGGAGUCGUUGGCGCAGGGAGCUGGCGCCAGGGCUGCACCUGCGGGGCAUCCGGGACGCCGGUGGCAGAUACUGCCAAGAGCAGGACAUGUGCUGCCGCGGCCGUGCUGACGAGUGUGCUUUGCCCUACCUGGGAGCCACCUGUUACUGUGACCUCUUCUGCAACCGCACCGUCUCUGACUGCUGCCCUGACUUUUGGGACUUCUGCCUCGGGAUUCCACCCCCCUUCCCUCCUGUCCAAGGUUGCAUGCAUGCGGGCCGGAUCUACCCAAUCUUCGGAACCUAUUGGGAAAACUGCAAUCGGUGCACCUGCCAUGAGAAAGGGCAGUGGGAAU